rnacentral:rRNA from 1 species
AUUGAACGCUGGCGGCAGGCCUAACACAUGCAAGUCGAGCGGGGUUUUCGGACCUAGCGGCGGACGGGUGAGUAAUGCGUAGGAAGCUACCCGAUAGAGGGGGAUACCAGUUGGAAACGACUGUUAAUACCGCAUAAUGUCUACGGACCAAAGUGUGGGACCUUCGGGCCACAUGCUAUCGGAUGCGCCUACGUGGGAUUAGCUAGUUGGGGGGGUAAUGGCUCACCAAGGCGACGGUCCCUAGCUGGGUUGAGAGGUUGAUCAGCCACACUGGAACGUAGACACGGUCCAGGCUCCUACGGGGGGCAGCAGUGGGGAAUAUUGGACAAUGGGCGCAAGCCUGAUCCAGCCAUGGCGCGUGUGUGAAGAAGGCCUUCGGGUUGUAAAGCACUUUCAGUAGGGAGGAAGGGUAUUGUGUUAAUAGCACAGCAUUUUGACGUUACCUACAGAAGAAGCACCGGCUAACGCUGUGCCAGCAGCCGCCGCAGUAA